rnacentral:rRNA from 1 species
UACGUAGGGGGCCAGCGUUGUUCGGAAUUACUGGGUGUAAAGGGUUCGUAGGCGGUGCGGCGAGUCGGGAGUGAAAUCUCUGGGCUUAACCCAGAGGCUGCUUCCGAAACUGCUGUGCUUGAGUGUGGGAGAGGCGCGUGGAAUUGCAGGUGUAGCGGUGAAAUGCGUAGAUAUCUGCAGGAACACCCGUGGCGAAAGCGGCGCGCUGGACCACUACUGACGCUGAGGAACGAAAGCUAGGGGAGCAAACAGG